CCCUAUCCGUCGUGGGCGUAGGAAAUUUGAGAGGAGCUGUCCUUAGUACGAGAGGACCGGGAUGGACAUACCUCUGGUGUACCAGUUGUCGUGCCAACGGCAUAGCUGGGUAGCUAUGUAUGGACGGGAUAAGUGCUGAACGCAUCUAAGCAUGAAGCCCCCCUCAAGAUGAGAUUUCCCAACUUCGGUUAUAAGAUCCCUCAGAGAUGAUGAGGUUAAUAGGUUCGAGGUGGAAGCGUGGUGACA
rnacentral:rRNA from 1 species